rnacentral:rRNA from 1 species
UCCAGACUCCUACGGGAGGCAGCAGUGGGGAAUAUUGCACAAUGGGGGGAACCCUGAUGCAGCGACGCCGCGUGGGUGAAGGAGCGUUUCGGCGCGUAAAGCCCUAUCGGCAGGGAAGAAGGAGGACGGUACCUGACUAAGAAGCCCCGGCUAACUACGUGCCAGCAGCCGCGGUAAUACGUAGGGGGCAAGCGUUAUCCGGAUUUACUGGGUGUAAAGGGGGCGCAGACGGCAGCGCAAGCCAGGAGUGAAAGCCCGGGGCCCAACCCCGGGACUGCUCUUGGAACUGCGCGGCUGGAGUGCAGGAGGGGCAGGCGGAAUUCCUGGUGUAGCGGUGAAAUGCGUAGAUAUCAGGAGGAACACCGGUGGCGAAGGCGGCCUGCUGGACUGCGACUGACGUUGAGGCCCGAAAGCGUGGGGAGCAAACAGGAUUAGAUACCCUCGUAGC